AUUGAACGCUGGCGGCAGGCCUAACACAUGCAAGUCGAGCGGAGCGGCGGACGGGCGAGUAAGGCCUAGGUAUCUGCCUGGUAGUGGGGGAGAGCGUCCGGCAUAGGGCGCUAUUUACUCAUACUCUCUGUUGAGUCUAGGUCGGAGUAGCUAGGUGGUGGGGUAAGGGCCUACCAAGGCGACGAUCCGUACCUGGUCUGAGAGGAUGAUCAGUCACACUGGAACUGAGACACGGUCCAGACUCCGACGGGAGGCAGCAGUGGGGAAUAUUGGACAAUGGGCGAAAGCCUGAUCCAGCCAUGCCGCGUGUGUGAAGAAGGUCUUCGGAUUGUAAAGCACUUUAAGUUGGGAGGCGUUACCAACAGAAUAAGCACCGGCUAACUUCGUGCCAGCCGCCGCGGUAAUUC
rnacentral:rRNA from 1 species